UACGAAGGGGGCUAGCGUUGCUCGGAAUUACUGGGCGUAAAGCGUGCGCAGGCGGUUCGUUAAGUUCGAUGUGAAAGCCCCGGGCUCAACCUGGGAACUGCAUUGGAAACUGGCGAGCUUGAAUGCGGCAGAGGGGGGUGGAAUUCCGCGUGUAGCAGUGAAAUGCGUAGAGAUGCGGAGGAACACCGAUGGCGAAGGCAGCCCCCUGGGCCGACAUUGACGCUCAGGCACGAAAGCGUGGGGAGCAAACAGG
rnacentral:rRNA from 1 species